UUCAACAUGGAAUCAUGGAAUGGGUUGAGUUGGAACCUUCAAGCUCCUCCAGGUCCAACAGGGUUUUGGAGCUCUUCUACUAGAGGAGCUUGCUCUUUGAAGGUCCAUCUUCUCCAGCCAACCCAUCCUUAUGUCCCACCACCUUCAUGGGGCAGAACUUCCCAAUAUCCCAUCUCCAUGUCCCCUUGUGUCAUGGUCAAGCCAUUCCCAUUGUCCCACCUCGCCAUGGCCGUGGCCAAAAGCCAUCUCCAAGCUUUCUUGGAAGCCUUGGAGCUGCUCUAAGUUCUCCUCAAGAGCUUCUCCUCACCAAGUCCUUCUCCUUAAGGAUGCUCCAUCCCAUCUUCCCCACUUCACCCAUGGAUCUCCAUGAGCUUCCCAUGGUGCCACCUCUCCGAGGUGGAGCAAGAAGAUUCCAGCUUCUCCUGGGAUUUACCUGGAAUUCCCUUUCUCUUCCCCAAAAUCCCUCAGGAAAACCUUAAUCCUGCCUUUCCAGGCAGGGAAUGGAAGUUCUCCUCCAUAAAGGUGGUGGGACAUGGCCAUGGGUGGGCUGGAGGAAGUGGGGCUGCCCCAUGGAGCAACUUGCUCCAGCGGAAGGUGACCCUGGUGGAAGUGGUUGGAGCUUGAAGGUCCUUCCCAAGCCAAAUCAUUCCAAGAUUCCAUAGAAAUCCCAGCCCCUGCGCUGUGGGUCCCCCCAUGGCAUGUUCCUUCUGGAGCUUCUCCUCCACCCAGGAGAAGACCUUCUUGUUGGCCCCUCAACCUCCAGGCUGAGCGUAGCAGCACGGAGAGGAAGCAGCACUUACUCCACUGAGUAAAGCCCGAGGAGAACAUUCCCCUGUGGGUCCCAUCAGCCCUUUAGGACAUGGCCAAGCACAUGAAGAUGACCUGGAGGAACCUAUGGGGCAGCUUCUGCUGCCCGGAGGAAUCCUACUACUAGGAGUAGCCUUGGAUGAGCACGUUUGCCUUCUCCAACCACUUGUCCUGGUUGGAAGCUCAAGGUGGAGCAAGGAAACUCCAUCUUCUCCUGGGAUUUGCUUGGAAUUCCCUUUCUCUUCCCCCCCAAAUCCCCCAUGGAACCCCUAAUCCUCCACUCGCUAUGGGGCCAGCCCCCCAGCAGCACGUCGGGGUUGAACGUUCCCGCUUUCCUUCCACCAGGUUGGAGUUGUCCUGCCUGGAAGAAGCAUCAAAUCAACGUCGACCCUGGUGGAAAGCAGGAUUAGGUGUUACUCCAGGUUGGAUUUAACUCCAAGCUGCUUAAGGAGGAUCUCAGUAGCUUCAGCUCCUUUAGAGGUGGACUUUUGGGUUGUCCAAAGCAGAUCCCGAUGGGACAUGGAAGGAUACAAGUGGUAGAUGCUCCACAACUCCACCAUAAGAAGUCCAUUGCUCUUGAAGAUAACUCCAACAGUGGGAUCAAGCACCACUUCCAGACGUAAGGUUUGGGAAUCCACCACGAGAAGACCUUGAAGACCAUCUAAUCCAAGCAGCACCACCAAGGCCACCACUAAUCCAUGGCACUGAGGGCUUCAUCUCCAUGCUUUGGGAAUGCUUCCAAGGUCGGGACCUCCAGCAUUCCCAAUGCUUGAGCAACCAUGGUUGGGCCAUGGUCUUCUUAGAUGUUCUACCAUGACCUGGCCACCUCAAUAGAGUCAGGUCCCUUCAAAGAGAGGACAUCCAUGUCCUCCAGGGUCACUGGGAUGAGCACCCUCAGCAAGGUUGUGGUGGCACCAAGUCGUCUGCUGAAGAGCUGGGAUCCAGAGGGACCUGCAGUGGUGGCACCAUAGGAACCUCAUGGAGUUCCACCACUCCAAGGGCAAGGUCCUGCCAUCCCAGCACCAACGUAGGUUGGGGGAGAUGGGAUGGAGAAAGACUUGGAGGUGUUGGCUAAGGAGAAGCUCCUCCUGACCUUCUCCUUUCGAGCCAUUCCAGUGUCCCACCACCCUCAUGGUGAAGAACUUCAUCUACGAUGCCACCUCCAUGGGUCCUUCUGGUAGGUUCAAGCCAUUCCCAAGGUCCCAUCCCUCUAUUCCCAUAUCCAAAGCUCCUCUUCCAGGUCUCUUGGAAUGGUGACGAGAAGGUCGGAGUCUACACCAGGAGUAACUCUGAAGGUCCCUUGGGGCUCAAUCACCCUUUGAGCUUGAAGGACCCAUAGGUUGGGUCCUUUCAGGUCCUUGAGGUGAUGGGGAGGAGAUGAGGUCCACCAUCCCUUCACCUGUGGUCACCUCCAGGUUUUCCCUAUGGGAACAAGAUGCUUCCUCCUACUACUACGUGUAGGUUCACACCUUGAGUAUCCAAGGAGCUGGAGAGGCUCCCUCAAGCCUUAGGAGGCAUCUCAAGAGGGGUCUCCAUGAAGGUCUUCAUCAGCCACAUGGCCAGUAUGGAGCAAAGCCCAGGAGAAGAAGGUAUCUACACAAGGUGGAACCUCCGUGAGGUCCCUCUACACCAGGGUGCUGGUAAGACCUUGUGUAAAACCCCAAAAAGCUGGUUGAAGGCAACGUCAAGCCUUACACCAGCUUUACUCCGUGGAGUUGCUUGCCCUUAAUGUCCAAGGGGAUUAAGGAAGAGCUUCUCCAAGGGCAAAAGAGGGAGGAAACAAGGAGUUGGCUUCAAGUCCUCGCUGGAGUAAGCUCCUACUACUCCUUCCUACUCAAGGAGAACAAGGCCGAGCACGUAGUUGCUUACGUCGUGGUGUAACUAAUGCAAACAGACUUAGACCCAAGCCAGCUCCGUUGUCCUCCUACCCUCAAGGUCUCUCUUGGAGUAGUGAGGCUAGAAAUGGAGGUGGAACCUCACCCGUACCUACUACAAGGGGGACAAUCCCUGCCUCCGUCCUGCUUGUAGCAUUAAACACCUACUCCUAAGGAUCGA